AGCUCUGUGGGACCUUCUGUUCGCCGGCGAGCGGAGAACGGGUGACUAAUGCCUAUGAAUCUGCCUGUUAGUGGGGGAUAACGCGGGGAAACUCGCGCUAAUACCGCAUACGUCCUACGGGAGAAAGCGGGGGCUCUUCGGACCUCGCGCUAACGGAUGAGCCUAGGUCGGAUUAGCUAGUUGGUGGGGUAAUGGCCCACCAAGGCGACGAUCCGUAACUGGUCUGAGAGGAUGAUCAAUCCACUGGAACUGAGACACGGUCCAUACUCCUACGGGAGGCAGCAGUGGGGAAUAUUGGACAAUGGGCGAAAGCCUGAUCCAGCCGUGCCGCGUGUGUGAAGAAGGUCUUCUGAUUGUAAAGCACUUUAAGUCGGGAGGAAGGGCUGUAGGCUAAUACCUUGCAGUUUUGACGUUACCGACAGAAUAAGCACCGGCUAACUUCGUGCCAGCAGCCGCGGUAAUAC
rnacentral:rRNA from 1 species